rnacentral:sRNA from 1 species
AAGGUGUUCUUAGGAUCUUUUUGUUUUCAAUCUAUCUAAAGUGUGAUAGUUUUGAUAAAGCAGAAAUUUGCAUUUUAUCCAUAGGGCUAGGACAUGUAUGUGUCUUAGUCCUUUUAUAUUUACGUUGAUGAAAAAUGGCAAAACCAUCGUACCAACUGUUAAUUGAAGGUACAAUCAUUGUUUAACAGUCAUAAAAAUGAGCGAAGUAAAUGCAGCUAUCAAUGUACUAUUAACACUU